AGUCUCUUGGAACAGAGCGUCACAGAGGGUGAGAAUCCCGUCCUUGACCGGCGACCACGCCCGCGCGAAACCCCUUCGACGAGUCGAGUUGUUUGGGAAUGCAGCUCAAAAUGGGUGGUAAAUUUCAUCUAAAGCUAAAUAUCGGCCGGAGACCGAUAGCGCACAAGUAGAGUGAUCGAAAGAUGAAAAGCACUUUGGAAAGAGAGUCAAAAAGUACGUGAAAUUGUUGAAAGGGAAGCGCUUGCGACCAGACCUGUUCGGGGGCGAUCAACCUCUGUUUUCAGGGGUGCACUCGCCCCCGAUCAGGCCAGCAUCGGUUCGGGCGGCCGGACAAAGGCCUUGGGAAUGUAGCUCCCUUCGGGGAGUCUUAUAGCCCUGGGUGCAAUGCGGCCAGCCCGGACCGAGGACCGCGCUCCGGCUAGGAUGCUGGCGUAAUGGUCGUAAGCGACCCGUCUUGAAACACGGACCAAGGAGUAUAAUGUCUAUGCGAGUGUUUGGGUGUCAAACCCAUGCGCGGAAUGAAAGUGAACGGAGGUGAGAACCCUGAAGGGCGCAUCAUCGACCGAUCCAGAUGUCUUCGGAUGGAUUUGAGUACGAGCAUAGCUAUUGUGACCCGAAAGAUGGUGAACUAUGCCUGAAUAGGGUGAAGCCAGAGGAAACUCUGGUGGAGGCUCGCAGCGGUUCUGACGUGCAAAUCGAUCGUCAAAUUUGGGUAUAGGGGCGAAAGACUAAUCGAACCAUCUAGUAGCUGGUUCCUGCCGAAGUUUCCCUCAGGA
rnacentral:rRNA from 1 species